GGGGUUGUGGCUCAGUGGUAGAGCGCUCAACCGGCACCUGGGGACACAGGGUUCAAUCCUCAGCUCCA
rnacentral:tRNA from 1 species